rnacentral:lncRNA from 1 species
UAAUGCAUAGUUUGCAUUAUUAUUAUAAUAUAUAAUUGGAUGAUAUAAUAAUAAUAUUUAUAAAAAUAUGUUAAUCUAAUUAUUAUGUUAUUAAAAUAAAUAAUUAGAAUAAUUUAACAAAAGUUUACGUAACCUUGUGAUAUCUUUAUAAGCCAUUUUUCCAAACAAAAUAUAACAAUUACAAAAAUAUAUACCAUUUAAUAACAUUAGAUUAUUUAAUGAAAUGAUAUAUUAUAUUGAGUCCGGUUACUAUACUAUCGAUAAUACCAAGCGCUUGGCGCUUUCGAGUUUUUCGCUGUUAGAUCUAUUUCUUUGACCAUUUUCACUUGUUAGAUCAUAUUAUUUAAUCAACCACUCACUCAACUCUAAGGGAUCACUAUCAUCCUAAUCGCACAAUCCUUUCAUCCAGUGCUUUGUACUAUUAAUAGUAUAAUAGCCUAAUUCAUAUUAUUAUAUGAAUAUUAUAGGUUAAAGGAUUAAAAGGAUACCAACCGUCCCUAGAGCAAGUGGCAAAGGGCUUGGUGGUUGGUAUCCGAGACCUAAGUUCGAAUCCUAGUUGAUUCACAUUUCCAGCUAAGUUUAUUUCUAAAUGAAAUAAACGAAGCGGAUAGCGUGCUAUCUAUCUCUUUAAAAAAAAAAAAAGAAGAUUAAAAGGAUAAUUCCCUGCACCUAGGGUAUGUUUGUUUGGGUGGAAGUGAGGUGGAAGUGGAGAAGGGGGAAGUCGUUUGCGGUAUAAACUAUCAUUUUUGUUGUUUGGUUCGCCGUAAAAUAGUUACGGCCGAAACUCGAGUUAACCGGAAACGGUGUAAUUGACUUCGGCCCAUGUCCAUCGUGGGCCGAAGUCAAUUACGCCGAAGGAAGGCAAAGAAAAAAUAAUAAAAUAAUAUACCAUAUAAAGAUAAUUAUAUUUAAAUAUAUUUAAUUAUGCUAUUAAUUACUCUUUUAUUUAGUUGGCAUAUUUAAGAUAUGAUCAAAAUUGAUUAGUUAAGUUUUAUAUUUUCUUUAUUUAGUUUGUACAAUUAAAAUAUGAUAGAAAUUGAUUAAUCAAGUAUUAAUAUUUUUUUACUUUAUAAUUUUAUUGUUGUAUUAUUAUGGUUUAUGUAUAAAAAAAUAAUUUAGAUGUUUUAAAUUAAAUUUUAAUUAUAUAAAAAUAUAAUUAUAUUAUUUUUAUUUAUUAAAUUAUUCAUUAUUUAUACAUAAGUUAUAUCAUACAUUUCCUAUCAAACAAACAGCGAAACUAAUAUAACUCCACUUUCAUAACUACGAAACAAACAACGGAAAAAAAGUGAUUUUUUUUUAACAUUAUCUCAACCCAAAGUCCAAUUUCGAUGAAACAAACAUGCUCUAGUGCGCCGUAUCAGCUGUACCUCU